GGGCCGGAACUGACCCUGCUGUUCACACAAGCUAGAAUGCCAUCAUGCUUUCUCUGUACUCUGAAGCACAUUUUUCGUUGCUGCUGAAAAGAACCCCUGACUAUUGCUUGGUGCCUUUGCCGAUGAUCUGAAUUCUGUCGCACUGCCACAAUGGGAUGAAGGCAGACAUUGUAACCACCACUGGGGACAAUCCAAAAUAUUGCUACUCUGUGCCAAUCCGUGUUAAGUAGCCCACGUAGACAGGUGUAGGACAAAAGGAUACAAAAAAGAAAACAUGCAAAGAUGUAAAUAAAACAAAGGAAACGUGAAAUGGUAAAGGAAACUGAAUGAGAAAGAAAAGACAAUCAUGAUCCAUGAUGGCAACAGCAUGCCACCACCAAACCAUCUGAACAUAACUGCACCAGGUAAAUCCUCGGACGAUGGCAUGAUCAGGCGCUAUUGAGUCUUGCCCAUCAAUAGCUGCUGAAGUCUUCAUGGCAGGGAGGAUAUGGACUCACAACAGAUGUCGAAUAUCAUGCUAGUUUGCUACAAUAAAGUCCUAAGUUACAUCACCUCUACCAUGCCCUCUAGUGCCUCGGGGUUGCAUACAUCCAGGUUUGAGCUACACAGAACCUGGCCCAUUCAAAUGCUUCUGGCUCAGGGGUAAAUAAAUGAAAUGUCUGAAAAUGUUGAACUUAGUUUUUUCUUUUGAAAAACAUUUUUUCCAGAUUUUUUUCUUUACUGAAGACAAUCUACUAAGGAGCAACAAUCAAAAUAACUAUACAGUGUUUUUUUUCUACAAGCAUAAAGAAUUCUCUAUCUGGCAAUCAGCUAAAUGCCACAGCAUAUGAGUUUCUCUGCAACAAAGCAUCUUGGCAUACAUGUGGGGAAAAUGCACAGCUGAGAACAACACUGCAGUAACCAGACCACCUGCAUUUGUCUCAAUAGGUGUUUUAAGAAAGGCCACCAGGACAAUUUUUACAUUGAAUAUACAUUCUCCAUGAGGCCUCACCAGAUCCAAAGUCAGAUGAAACAAAACUUGGAACUCCACAUGAGGUGGGAAUUGCUACACAACUAUGUACACUUCCCUACAGUGUCUGACAGCAGCAUUUACUCAUUAUAGUUUGCCCUUGCAAUCCAGAGAUUCAAAAAUCCAUUGCUUAAAAAUAUUGCCACCCAAAUCUAAAAAGCAAUUCAUAUAAGGAACACCAUUUUACUACUCUAUUUUAUAUCCAUCAAAGGGUCCUGGAACCAAACCCAAGCAGAUACCAAGGACCCACAGAGUACUACAAACCAGUUGUGGCUUCUUAUUCUUAGUACAGUAAACUAUAUACAUAAAUUGUAUAUCAUAUUUUGAAAAGGAAGGAAAGGGGGAACAUAUUGCUACUUCCAUUUAAGUAUAAAGGUGUCUUUGAGCUAUUUGAGUAAAGUAUAAAGCUGACCUAUGAAAGGAAGAAAAGAAUCCAGUGUGUGUGAAUUCACUUACUGGGCAGGUUUGUAUAUUUUAAAUGUUCUAUACAAACUAUGCAAAAACUAUAUGAGGCAACAUCAGUUUAGAAGUAGUAUACCUUGUACAUUGGAAAAUAGGACAAAGUUGCUCAAAAUAGAAAAUACUGAACUCACCUUAGGCUAGUAUGCCAUGCCUACUGGCACUCAAUGGUACCAAGCACUUUAGAGACUAUUUAGAGACUAUGUGUGCCAUUUUCAGGUAUUGAGAUUGUUCAGUCUUCUCUCUUGACCACUUUAGAAGUAUUUUGAAUUUCAUUUGGCAUCUGUCAUGCACAGACACAAUACCUCCAAGCACUUCUGCAAUUCUUUUCACCAGAAAAAAGCUACUUCUGAAAAGAACGGUACCUUAAGUUUAGCUAUAAUAAAAGUCUGUACAUAAUUUUAAAAUA